UCACAUGGUUUUCUUCUCUUGCCUUUUCCUUUACUGCCUUCCUUUUGCUCUGGUGAAGGAGGAGGAGGAGGAGGAAAGAAGACUAAGAAGACUAAGAAGAGGAAAAGGAGGAAGAGGAAGAAGAGGAAUAAAACAAAUGCAUUUGCACAAGAGUCAUGUUUCUCAGUGGGAAGUGGAUGAUCUUACUUACUUCCUAUCUCAACAAUGAUGUGAGAUUGUUACUUACCUUCCCGAGAGAGGCUCUUGUUAAAGAGAGGAGCAGAACUAGGGAGAAGCUUGUUUCUGGAAAGUGAGGUGGAAUCUGGAGAAGAUUCGGGGACAGAUUUCAAAAUCCUGUGUGAAUACAUUUGACAAGGUUUUAAAAGCAGUGAUUGAACCAGCAAGACUCUGAGAUUACAGGAAUCUAAAUACAGCUAAUUGUAAGGUCAGCUUUCUGUGUUUGACUGUGGUGGUGGUGUUUGUUUGUUUGUUUGUUUUUUAAGGCAUCGUGCCCAGUUUGGAGAAAAUGUCCAAUGAAAAAUAGGCGUCCUGGAAUAAAAUAGUUUCUUGGGAAGUAGGAGCAAAUAGAUUUCAUUCAUUUAUUUGAAUAUGUCCAUUCAUUCAUUUAUUGUAAUAGCCAUCUUGAAAUGAUUCUGAUUUCUCAGCCAAUGAGCUAAAAAUCGUCAGGACUAAUUUAGCUGAAAUUGCCUCCUGAGAACCG
rnacentral:lncRNA from 1 species